CAGUCGCCACGGGAAUACGAAGGGUGCAAGCGUUAAUCGGAAUUACUGGGCGUAAAGCGUGCGUAGGCGGUUUGUUAAGUCUGCUGUGAAAUCCCCGGGCUCAACCUGGGAAUGGCAGUGGAUACUGGCAAGCUAGAGUGUGUCAGAGGAUGGUGGAAUUCCCGGUGUAGCGGUGAAAUGCGUAGAGAUCGGGAGGAACAUCAGUGGCGAAGGCGGCCAUCUGGGACAACACUGACGCUGAGGCACGAAAGCGUGGGGAGCAAACAGGAUUAGAUACCCCCGUAGUCCCUGUCUCUUAUAC
rnacentral:rRNA from 1 species